GAUGAACGCUGGCGGCGUGCCUAAUACAUGCAAGUCGAGCGAACAGACGAGGAGCUUGCUCCUCUGACGUUAGCGGCGGACGGGUGAGUAACACGUGGAUAACCUACCUAUAAGACUGGGAUAACUUCGGGAAACCGGAGCUAAUACCGGAUAAUAUAUUGAACCGCAUGGUUCAAUAGUGAAAGACGGUUUUGCUGUCACUUAUAGAUGGAUCCGCGCCGCAUUAGCUAGUUGGUAAGGUAACGGCUUACCAAGGCAACGAUGCGUAGCCGACCUGAGAGGGUGAUCGGCCACACUGGAACUGAGACACGGUCCAGACUCCUACGGGAGGCAGCCGUAGGGAAUCUUCCGCAAUGGGCGAAAGCCUGACGGAGCAACGCCGCGUGAGUGAUGAAGGUCUUCGGAUCGUAAAACUCUGUUAUUAGGGAAGAACAAAUGUGUAAGUAACUAUGCACGUCUUGCCGGUACCUAAUCAGAAAGCCACGGCUAACUACGUG
rnacentral:rRNA from 1 species